rnacentral:rRNA from 1 species
AGCGUAGGCGGGAAAUUAAGUUAAGUGUGAAAGCCUUGGGCUUAAACCCCAAGAAAUGCACUUAAUACUGGUUUUCUAGAGUGUAGGAGAGGUAAGUGGAAUUCCUAGUGUAGCGGUAAAAUGCGUAGAGAUUAGGAGGAACAUCAGAGGCGAAGGCGGCUUACUGGACUAUAGCUGACGCUGAGGCUCGAAAGCGUGGGGAGCAAACAA